CCCGUCUUUGUAUCACCCUAUGCCGUCACCAGGAGGAUAUGAAGGAGCUUCUUCCUAUCCACCACCACCACCUCCUCCAACACAGGGGUGGUCUGAAGACAACACCGCGGCCUCCUUGGACGAGUUUACACGGUUGUUUGCUACGCCUGCCCAGGACGAUGAUCCUAGCUUGCAUACACCUCUGGCUCAGUUACGCCGUCCUGCCAGAAACGUGGGGCCACCGGAACGUCAUAGCUACCCUACAGAUCACGUACACGCACAACGUAAGAGAGGUCGGAAUGGUAGGGGUCGUUAGUUGUUUCCACUUGUUUCUCCGGCGGUAUUAUGGACUGUUUCGACUGUUCGGAUUAUGAUUGUUUAUGAUUGUGGUAGUUUACUUGUCAUUUGUUUCUAUAGAUAUUAUUGAUGUGAACUUGUUA